CUUGACCCGCGUGUUUGAGGUGGUUAAAAGUUGGAGACGAAUUAGUUUGGUUGCUAAAGGUUGUCAAAUACGCGAUAUAAGAAUCGAUCUUCACUUGGACUUAAUUGAUCUCAGUUGUUCACUCUGUCUAGGACUCAAUUGAUCUUCAACUUCGAUAGAUCUUUAGCUUCAGUCUGAAUCGAUCUUUCUGCCGCCUCAUAUCCGAAUCAAUUUUUACUUCAAUCCGAAUCCAUCUUUAUACUGAUCUCAACUUCAAUCGAUCUUUACCUAUUAUAACUUCAAUCCAAAUCAAUUAAGAUCUCAACUAUUGAUCUCAGCUUCAAUCCGAAUCGAUCAUUGAAGAUAUGAGUUCUUUGGCUUCAAUCGGAAGAUAUAUAUAAGUUUGAGUAAAUGGAUUUAGUUUCUAACAGAGAUCGUAGUAAUUUGGAUUCAAUAGCGAUUUGGAGAAUUAGAUGCCCUGCUCUCUGUACACUUUUUGUCUGGCAAUGCUUGAAAGUCAACCCAAUUUUGUAUAUUGUAGGUUUAUUAUCGAUUUCUGUCCAGUAGCUGAAAUAGAGCUUUGGACCCUGUGAGAUUACUGAUAAAUGAUUGAGAAGAUGGCUUCGACAAUGCUCUCUCUUGCCUCAGCAUCUACCUCAGCUUCGGCAAGAUAAUCGCAAGGUACCAUUAACAUCAAUCCACAAGUUAAUUUUACAAAAUUUUCAAUUUUGUGUGAUUUUCUUUUCAUUUUCCC